GGUCAGGUAGCCUAGUGGUUAAGGCAGUCCCUGCAGGUUAGGCCCAGAUCCAUUGGAUCUGGUCACUGGUUCAAAUCCAGCCCUGACCA
rnacentral:tRNA from 2 species